GUGGGGAAUCUUCCGCAAUGGACGAAAGUCUGACGGAGCAACGCCGCGUGAGUGAAGAAGGUUUUCGGAUCGUAAAGCUCUUUCGUUAGGGACGAACGUGCUCUUUGUGAAUAAUGAGGAGUAAUGACGGUACCUAAAUAAGAAGCCACGGCUAACUACGUUCCAGCAGCCGCGGUAAUACGUAGGUGGCAAGCGUUGUCCGGAAUUAUUGGGCGUAAAGCGCGCGCAGGCGGGAUAUCAAGUCUGUCUUAAAAGUGCGAGGCUCAACCUCGUGAGGGGACAGAAACUGGUAUUCUUGAGUGUCGGAGAGGAAAGUGGAAUUCCAAGUGUAGCGGUGAAAUGCGUAGAGAUUUGGAAGAACACCAGUGGCGAAGGCGACUUUCUGGACGAUGUCUGACGCUGAGGCGCGAAAGCUAGGGGAGCGAACGGGAUUAGAUACCCGUGUAGUCC
rnacentral:rRNA from 1 species